rnacentral:rRNA from 1 species
AACGAACGCUUUCUUCAUGCCUAACACAUGCAAGUCGAACGAGACCUUCGGGUCUAGUGGCGCACGGGUGCGUAACGCGUGGGAAUCUGCCCUUCGGUUGGGAAUAACUGAGAGAAAUUUCAGCUAAUACCUUAUAAUGUCUUCGGACCAAAGAUUUAUCGCCGAGGGAUGAGCCCGCGUAGGAUUAGGUAGUUGGUGGGGUAAUGGCCUACCAAGCCGACGAUCCUUAGCUGGUCUGAGAGGAUGAUCAGCCACACUGGGACUGAGACACGGCCCAGACUCCUACGGGAGGCAGCAGUGGGGAAUAUUGGACAAUGGGCGAAAGCCUGAUCCAGCAAUGCCGCGUGAGUGAUGAAGGCCUUAGGGUUGUAAAGCUCUUUUACCCGGGAUGAUAAUGACAGUACCGGGAGAAUAAGCUCCGGCUAACUCCGUG